rnacentral:rRNA from 1 species
GACGAACGCUGGCGGCGUGCUUAACACAUGCAAGUCGAACGGAAAGGCCUUUUCGGAGGUACUCGAGUGGCGAACGGGGGCGUAACACGUGGGUGAUCUGCCCUGCACUCUGGGAUAAGCCUGGGAAACUGGGUCUAAUACCGGAUAGGACCGCACUUUAGUGUGUGUGGUGGAAAGAUUUUUCGGUGUAGGAUGAGCCCGCGGCCUAUCAGCUUGGUGGUGGGGUAAUGGCCUACCAAGGCGGCGACGGGUAGCCGGACUGAGAGGUUGGUCGGCGACAUUGGGCCUGAGACACGGCCCAGACGCCUACGGGAGUCAGCAGUGGGGAAUGUUGCACAAUGGGCGCCAGCCUGAUGCAGCGACGCCGCGUGGGGGAUGACGGCCUUCGGGUUGUAAACGCCUUUCGCCAGGGACGAAGCGUUUUGUGACGGUACCUGGAGAAGAAGCACCGGCUAACUACGUG